AGGACCCGUCUUGAAACACGGACCAAGGAGUCUAACAUGUGCGCGAGUCAUUGGGACUGCAAAGCCUAAAGGCGCAAUGAAAGUAAAGGUCGAUCUUAGCGUCGACCUAGGGAGGAUGGCUCGGCUCACGAUGCGAGCUCGCACUCCCGGGGCGUCUCGUGCUCAUUGCGAGCAGAGGCGCACCCAGAGCGUACACGUUGGGACCCGAAAGAUGGUGAACUAUGCCUGGUCAGGACGAAGUCAGGGGAAACCCUGAUGGAGGUCCGUAGCGAUUCUGACGUGCAAAUCGAUCGUCGGAACUGGGUAUAGGGGCGAAAGACUAAUCGAACCAUCUAGUAGCUGGUUCCCUCCGA
rnacentral:rRNA from 1 species